ACAGCAGACUGCAGGAACAGAGGGAGAACGACAGAGGGCGCUGCUCCCUUUCCUUGGUGGUUUGAUAUAAAUUCAUCUUUCAUUUCUGAGAACCUUUCUCUCUUGCUCAGCCUACAGCAUGAUCUUGUAGGAGAGUUUGUCUUGCAUAACACAUGAACCAAGAUUUUCUUGAAGAUGUCAACAAAAGAUCAAGAAACUAGAGGAAUAGUUUUUUCAACUUUCGUGUAUCCCCAGACUCAGCCUCCCACUGCUUCUGAGCCAGCUAUGCUGUCUGCUUUGUGCUUAGGACUUGUGAUCUUGUUGAUAAGGCGAGGGACCAGUGGAGACUCGGUGACCCAGACAGAAGGCGUUGUUAUCCUCCCCGAGAAGGCAUCUCUGACUCUGAAGUGUAAUUACCAGUCCAGCUAUUCAGGUUUUCUUCUCUGGUAUGUCCAGUACCAAAACAAAGAGCUUGAGCUGCUCCUGAAAAGCUCAUUAGGAAACCAGAAGGUGACCAGCAGAGGUUUUGAAGCCACUCAUAUCUCGAGUGACAGCUCCUUCCACCUGCAGAAAUCCUCCGUGCAAACAUCAGACUUAGCUGUGUACUGCUGCGCUCUGAGUGACACAGUGAGAGAGGCCGCAGGGGGAGCUGAACACAAACCCAAGGGCACAGAUGGGGUGAGGCUGUGGGCAGCUCUCCAGAGUUCUAUGCUAGAGGCAUUGUCAAAGUACUUUCAGCUCUGAAGCUCAGAGCUAAGAACCUUGGAGUUCUUGGAUUGCCCUACAGAGAGGAAUCUGGGGUGGGACAGUGUAAAGAGGAACCUAAGGGCUUUUCUCCACAAAUGCCUGUUUUCGGCUCAUUCGUAUUCCCCCUAAAGACACAGAAUCCCUUGAAGUGUCAUUAACUCUUCAGUGACAAUUCAGUUGAUAUAUGCUGAAAUAUUUCACAACCUGUUAAUGAAAACUCCCGGGAACAUUGUUAAUGGAUGACUGUGUGAUCUGGAAGGUAGUCUCUGGUUUUAAUAAUUCAGACUAGGAUUGUAUGUCUUGCUGAGAUACACCUGCAGACACUCCAUCUUCAGUGACUAGGAGCUUUAUUCUCUCUUCCCUUGACUUUUCCAUCCCUAUGGCUGCUACAGCAAUGCUGCUACCUAGGUAAGUUCCAGGAGGAGAGUUUUCUGACAAGAUAAUCCUUCUGUCAAUGGCCCUGUGGGUCAGAGCAGUCCAGCUGGUAAAUAUUGCAGGCAUGAAGUGUAUUGUUUGUAUUCAAACAGGGUACAGGAUAUUCUCUUUGCCAAUAAUAACGUCACCUCAGGGGAAAUUUAUUCAUCAGUCAGUCAUAUUUCUGAUAUAUGGAAAAAGUGUUUAUGUACUCUUACAAUAAGCUAUCUUUGGAGUGGAGUGAGUUUUUCACCUGCUCCAAGAAACUAGGAGAAAAUAUCACCCACUCCCAAGGCAGGAACAUCUCCCCACUCCUCUGCUCAUGAGCAGGGAAUGUGGAGCCACUUGGGCUCUGCAUCUCUGCAACAAUCAUGCCCAUUGCACAGAGCAUCCCCUCUGCAUCUCUGCAGGUUGAACUCCUGUCCACGCCUUUAGGGACCAGACUUUCUGGAAGGACAGUGGGACACAGAAGGUGUGAAAAGAGAUAUGUUUUACUGCCAGCCAGUCAGGGACAUGUGGCCUAGACACUGAUUAUUUGUCAUCUCAUAAUGUAUAAACACAGCAAUCAAAAUACAGAGUUUAAUAGUAGAAUAGUUUUAAUGGUCCUGGAGGAUGUAGUCCCCAUCCUCAUUUAACAGGGUGGAUGUCAGGACACCUACCUAAAGGUCAGUGCAGACCUCCUCCCUAACAUCCUAUAGUCCUGUACCCUGGGUGUUGGUCACCUGAGCACUGGGGAUUCAACAUCUUGAUAAACAGGCCAGAGAAAGGGACAGGGAGAUGAAAAAACAAAAAUAAAUCUUACAGUGGAAAAAAAAGUAUUCAAGCAUGAUUUAUUUCCCUGGUGGUAACUGUAUCAGCCCUCUACUUCUGGUCUGAUCUCUCAUUCCACAUCUCUGCGUCCAGGCUAGUGGGACUACAGACAGGGCAGAGGAUUUUUUUUUUUUCUUACCUGCUCCUCAGUCAACUGAAAGCAAUUUGAGAUAGGAAUCAUGUCUGGUUUUCAGUUUACACGUUGUAGGAGAAGGAAA